rnacentral:sRNA from 2 species
CGAUGGCCUUCAUUACUUACGUGCUCCUGGCUGGGAUGGCACUGGGCAUUCAGAAAAGGUUCUCCCCGGAGGUGCUGGGCCUGUGUGCAAGCACAGCGCUGGUGUGGGUGGUGAUGGAGGUGCUGGCCCUGCUCCUGGGCCUCUACCUGGCCACCGUGCGCAGUGACCUGAGCACCUUUCACCUGCUGGCCUACAGUGGCUACAAAUACGUGGGAAUGAUCCUCAGUGUGCUCACGGGGCUGCUGUUCGGCAGCGAUGGCUACUACGUGGCGCUGGCCUGGACCUCAUCGGCGCUCAUGUACUUCAUUGUGAGUGCGCUCUUUGCGGACAGCAGCCCUGGGCCCCGACAGCAUGGGGGGCCCCGUCCCCCGGCAGCGUCUCCAGCUCUACCUGACUCUGGGAGCUGCAGCCUUCCAGCCCCUCAUCAUAUACUGGCUGACUUUCCACCUGGUCCGGUGACCCCCUGGCCCCAGAUGGCACUGAGUUUUUCAUUCAUUGAAGAUUUGAUUUCCUUGA